UGGCAUGAGCACUUCCCUCUUUCUACUGCUAAUACCUCUCCCUAUACAACCAAGCAUUCUGCUAGCAUUUCCUGCUGCUCUAUCAUAUUGCCUUCCUAUUAUCUACUAUCUUACCAGCAAACAUACAUCCGAGAUGGCAGAGUACUUGGAGUAAACUAGGUGACUGUAGAUUGGCCCUACUUGUGAGACACUUUGCAGGGGCACCCAGGAAUUAAGCCCAAUCUUCUUU